rnacentral:lncRNA from 1 species
AGGAAGCGGAAGACUAAUGACCGAAGCUUCAAGACUUUGACAUGUGUGAAAACAUGAAAUGACCCUUGGCUCUUAUUGUUCUUGCUGGUGUGGUAUGUUCACGGCUGAAAAGAUGGUCAGAAGGGGAAAGGAGGAAGUGAGAAGAAAGAAACAGGGAAAUGAGUGUUGCUCAGUUACCCAGGCUGGAGUGCAAUGGCAUGAUCUUGGCUCACUGCAGCCUCCACCUCCUGGGUUCAAGCGGUUCUCGUGCCUCAGUCUCCCAAGUAGCUGGGAUUACAGGCUGGAGUGCGAUGGCAUGAUCUUGGCUCACGGCAAACUCCGCCUCCCUGGUUCAAGUGAUUCUCCUGCCUCAGCCUCCCGAGUAGCCGGGAUUACAGGCAUGUGCCACCAUGCCCCGUUGGCCAGGCUGGUCUCGAACACCUUACCUCAGGUGAUCCUCCCACCUUUGGGAUUACAGACCCUGCAUGUGAUGGAUCAGCUGACACCAUCCAGAUCGGUAAACUGGUUCAUCUGAUCUUGUGCCCUCCACCCAGGAACUGACUCAGCGCAAGAAGACAGCUUCGACUCCUUGUGAUUUCAUCCCUAACCAAUCAGCACUCCUGGCUCACUGGCUUCCCCCAACCCACCAAAUUGUCCUUAAAAACUCUGCUCUCCAAACGCUGGGGGAGACUGAUUUGAGUAAUAAUAAAACCCUGGUCUCCUGCA